CCCUGUGAGGGGAGUGAAAUAGAACCUGAAACCGUAUACGUACAAGCAGUGGGAGCAGACUUGUUCUGUGACUGCGUACCUUUUGUAUAAUGGGUCAGCGACUUAUAUUUAGUAGCAAGGUUAAGCGAAUAGCGGAGCCGUAGCGAAAGCGAGUGUUAACUGCGCGUUUAGUUGCUAGGUAUAGACCCGAAACCCGGUGAUCUAGCCAUGGGCAGGUUGAAGGUUGAGUAACAUCAACUGGAGGACCGAACCCACUAACGUUGAAAAGUUAGGGGAUGACUUGUGGCUGGGGGUGAAAGGCCAAUCAAACCGGGAGAUAGCUGGUUCUCCCCGAAAUCUAUUUAGGUAGAGCCUCGGACGAAUUCCAUUGGGGGUAGAGCACUGUUAAGGCUAGGGGGUCAUCCCGACUUACCAACCCUUUGCAAACUCCGAAUACCAAUGAGAACUAUCCGGGAGACACACGGCGGGUGCUAACGUCCGUCGUGAAGAGGGAAACAACCCAGACCGCCAGCUAAGGUCCCAAAAUAUUGCUAAGUGGGAAACGAUGUGGGAAGGCAUAGACAGCUAGGAGGUUGGCUUAGAAGCAGCCACCCUUUAAAGAAAGCGUAAUAGCUCACUAGUCGAGUCGGCCUGCGCGGAAGAUGUAACGGGGCUAAGCAAUAUACCGAAGCUGCGGAUACGUGUUUACACGUAUGGUAGGGGAGCGUUGUGUAAGUGGAUGAAGGUGGAUUGAGAAGUCUGCUGGACAUAUCACAAGUGCGAAUGCUGACAUGAGUAACGAUAAUGGGAGUGAAAAACUCCCACGCCGGAAGACCAAGGUUUCCUGUCCCAUGCUAAUCAGGGCAGGGUAAGUCGGCCCCUAAGGCGAGGCAGAAAUGCGUAGUCGAUGGGAAACGGAUUAAUAUUUCCGUACUUAUAUAAUCAGUGAUGGAGGGACGGAGAAGGCUAAGCAAGCUUGGCGUUGGUUGUCCAAGUGAAAGCAAGUAGGCCGAGUGUUUAGGUAAAUCCGGACGCUUAAAGCUGAGAUGCGAGACGAGCUACUACGGUAGUGAAGUUGUUGAUGCCCUGCUUCCAGGAAAAGCUUCUAAACUUAUGAUUAUAUGAACCGUACCCCAAACCGACACAGGUGGUCAGGUAGAGAAUACUAAGGCGCUUGAGAGAACUCGGGUGAAGGAACUCGGCAAAAUUGUACCGUAACUUCGGGAGAAGGUACGCCCUUGUUUGUGAUAGGACUUGCUCCUUGAGCAGAUGAGGGCCGCAGUGACCAGGUGGCUGGGACUGUUUAUUAAAAACACAGCACUCUGCUAACUCGCAAGAGGACGUAUAGGGUGUGACACCUGCCCGGUGCCGGAAGGUUAAUUGAUGGGGUUAUCUUCGGAGAAGCUCUUGAUCGAAGCCCCGGUAAACGGCGGCCGUAACAAUAACGGUCCUAAGGUAGCGAAAUUCCUUGUCGGGUAAGUUCCGACCUGCACGAAUGGUGUAACCAUGGCCACGCUGUCUCCACCCGAGACUCAGUGAAAUUGAAAUCGCAGUGAAGAUGCUGUGUACCCGCACCUAGACGGAAAGACCCCGUGAACCUUUACUACAGCUUGGCACUGAACAUUGAACCUACAUGUGUAGGAUAGGUGGGAGGCUUCGAAGCACAGUCGCUAGAUUGUGUGGAGCCGUCCUUGAAAUACCACCCUUGUAUGUUUGAUGUUCUAACAUUGGUCCCUUAUCGGGAUUAUGGACAGUGUCUGGUGGGUAGUUUGACUGGGGCGGUCUCCUCCCAAAUAGUAACGGAGGAGCACGAAGGUUAGCUAAUCACGGUCGGACAUCGUGAGGUUAGUGCAAUGGCAUAAGCUAGCUUAACUGCGAGACAGACACGUCGAGCAGGUACGAAAGUAGGUCAUAGUGAUCCGGUGGUUCUGUAUGGAAGGGCCAUCGCUCAACGGAUAAAAGGUACUCCGGGGAUAACAGGCUGAUACCGCCCAAGAGUUCAUAUCGACGGCGGUGUUUGGCACCUCGAUGUCGGCUC
rnacentral:rRNA from 1 species